CACGUAGGCACCAAGCGUUGUCCGGAUUUAUUGGGCGUAAAGAGCUCGUAGGCGGUUCAGUAAGUCGGGUGUGAAAACUUUGGGCUUAACCCAAAGCGUGCAUCCGAUACUGCUGUGACUUGAGUUCGGUAGGGGAGUGGGGAAUUCCUAGUGUAGCGGUGAAAUGCGCAGAUAUUAGGAGGAACACCGGUGGCGAAGGCGCCACUCUGGGCCGAAACUGACGCUGAGGAGCGAAAGCGUGGGGAGCGAACAGG
rnacentral:rRNA from 1 species